CUCUGAUCUUGGGAAAAAUAGGCAUGCGACCUGAAUAGACACUACUCUAAAGAGGACAUAAAGAUGGCCAUAAACAUAUGAAAAGAUACUCAAUGAUACCCAUCAUCAGAGAAACGUAAAUUAAAACCAUAAUGAGAUAUCAACACACAAGAGUCAGAAUGACUAUCAUCAAUAAAUUAACAAACAACAGGUGCUGGUGAGAAUGUGGAGAAAAGGGAAC